AACCACGAAACCCAAACGGCCUAACCCUAGAAUCACUCGUUCCCUGUCCCUCUUCCUGUGUGCGGCGCCGCCGCUGCGCACAGGCCACAUCUCCUCGCCCUCCUCCACAUCUCCGGCCAAGGCGCUCGCUUCUCUGGCCGUCCUCCACAUCUCCUCGCCUCCACCCCAUCCACUUCCUGUCCUUUGCUUCUCCAAGACUGCAGCAUGGUGCUCGGUGGCUGCGGCAACGGAGCUGAUGGAGCGCAAGCCGACCAGUUCAACGGAGGCAGUAGCACGGGGCAGCGGCAGCAGCAUGGAGGGCGUCCGCUUGACUGGGAAGGUAAUGGAACUGCAAAUAGGAAUGGCAGCGGCAACCAUGAUGCAAGUGCAAGUGGUUCUCAAAGCUCUUGGAAAGGAAUUAAAGAUAAUAACUUAUAUGAUCCUUGGAACCAUACAUGGCCGUAUUAUGGGGGUUUUCAUUGUAUGUACUGUGGCCUAAAGCACAAAGGUGGAGGUGCAACCCGUGCGAGGGAGCACCUUGGUUGGAUUGUAGGUAACAUGAGGAGCUGCCCAAAUGUGCCAAGAAAUGUGAGAGAUGCAAUGAGAGAGGAUAGAUGCAAUGGAAGAAGAUACAUUUAUGGUUGCAGCUGCCGUCCUUGAUCCAUAUACACAUUACAGCCUCAACCUUUGCAACCAUACAAAUUAUGCUACUGCACUAACAGAUGCGAUAGCGAAGAUAUUAGAUCCAAAGAGUGCUCUUUCAGCCAUUGAUGAAGUUAGUAAGUUUAGGGAGUGCCAAGGAAGGUUUGGGACCAGAUUAGCACAAGAAGCUGCGGCGAGAAUGGAGCCAACCCAAUGGUGGUUUCAAUUUGGAGGGGAUCUUCCUGCAUUGCAGAAGUGUGCAAUGAGAGUUUGCUCACAAUGUGUCUCAUCUAGUGGGUGUGAGAGGAACUAGAGCGCCUUUGCUUUGGUGCACACAAAGCAAAGAAAUCGCCUUUUAUAUGACAAGCUCCACAAGCUAGUUUCUGUCCGCUACAACCUAAAGAUACGUGCUGAAGAAGAUCAAGAGAAAGAGAGAGAUAUAGAUAAAGAGGUUGAUCCAAGUGCAUUGCUGAUAGAUACAACAAUGUUCGAUGAGACGAAUCCAAUAAUGGAGUGGCUGAAUGAGGAUGAAGAUGAUCCAAUUGUGGAUGGAGCUGAUGCGGCCAGUGCUGUUUUUGAGAAAAUAAGGCGCCUCAACUCAAGCAGGAAGGAUUCUUAUGUUGGUACAAAGGCUAAUAAGAAGAAAAGAAAGAGGAAUCAUGAUGAGGAGAAUGAGUAUGUCGAAACUAAGAGUGAGGAUGACGACAAUGAGAAUGAAUAUCUUGAUAAUGAGAGUGAGGAUGAUGAUGGUGUGAGUGAGGAUGUUGAGGAUGAUCAACAAUAUGAGCAAGAAACACAAAUGCAAGUGGAAGAAGACACACAAGUACAAGUCGAAAAGGAGACACAAGCAAGCGUUGGCAAUUUGGAGACUCGUAGAUCUGGACGGCUAGUUAGGAAGAAGACCAAGGAAGUCAACAGCCUCUACUCGUAGAUUUGCUGGUCUGAUACUAGCUGGAGCUUGGAGCAUGAUGCUAGUUGGAGGCUUGGAGCAUGGAAACUGGAGCUUUUUCAAUGGAACAAGACCUCCCCGUCCAUGCUUUCAUGGAUUUCUUUUGGAGAUGUUGUUCGUUGUGAUGCUUUGAUGAUUGUCUUUUGCUGUUCGGUGUGAUGCUUUGAUGGCUGUCUUUUGGAGCUGUUUCUAUGUGAACUCCUUUAAAUUCUAUUGUUGGUUGUACUGAAGUAUUUAAAUUUGAACUAUGUGAUGGUUGUGGACUGUAAGUUUAGAACUAAUGUGCGUGAGGGUUAUAUUGGACUGACACUCUUAUUUUAAUCCCUAGAGCUAAUUUGCUAAACAUUAUAUGAUUA